AACCUAACCUAAGCUUGACAUCCUUUUGACCGAUGCCUAAUCGCAUCUUUCCCUUCGGGGACAGAAGUGACAGGUGGUGCAUGGUUGUCGUCAGCUCGUGUCGUGAGAUGUUGGGUUAAGUCCCGCAACGAGCGCAACCCUUGCCUUUAGUUGCCAGCAUUAAGUUGGGCACUCUAGAGGGACCGCCAGGGAUAACCUGGAGGAAGGUGGGGAUGACGUCAAAUCAUCAUGCCCCUUAUGCUUAGGGCUACACACGUGCUACAAUGGGUGGUACAGAGGGCAGCUAAGUCGUGAGGCCGAGCUAAUCCCUUAAAGCCAUUCUCAGUUCGGAUUGUAGGCUGAAACUCGCCUACAUGAAGCUGGAGUUACUAGUAAUCGCAGAUCAGAAUGCUGCGGUGAAUGCGUUCCC
rnacentral:rRNA from 1 species